ACUUGAUCCUUGUUUAUUGGGAGGAGCUCUCUGCUGCCCCAGGAAUGGGCUGAUUUCCUGAGUACACAUUAAUCUGAGCUCCCUCAGCCCUAGGGGUAGGGGGAUUGGGGGCACAAGAUGGGUGGAGCCAGAUAGGGAAGAUUCCCCCAGUGUUGUCCUGCUCCCAGUCCAGGUUUGGGACAAUGCCGGCAGCGUUUCCCUGUGUCUUUCCCCCACAAAGUCUCCAAGUCUUUCCUCAAAUGAUCGUCAAGGUUUGGGAGAAACAAUCUCUUCCUCUGCCCGGGUUGCGUGGAUCUCCAGUGGAAAGAUACUGCAUGACAUUGAAACAGCCGGUGUAUUAACUAAUGUAUAUGACAGUCCACCUCUGUAUGAUGAUGUGAAAGUGCAAUUUUUCUCUUCAGCUUUAUCUACCAAGAAAUGAAUUGGAUAAUCCACAUAAACAAAAAGCUUGGAAAAUUUAUCCACCAGAAUUUGCCGUGGAGAUACUUUUUGGUAUGGUUUCUGUGGAUUCUCUGCUCUUUGUGCUCUCCUCCCCACAUUGGUGGCUCCAUCUGGCACAGGGAAGCUUCUGGAUGUCAGAAGGUGGAUUCUCACUCUGUCACCCAGGCUGGAGUGUAGUGGCACAAUCUUUGCUCACUUCAACCUCUGCCUUCUGCGUUCGAGCAAUUCUCCUGCCUCAGCCUCCCGAGUAACUGGGAUUACAGGGACAGUAAGUGGUGUUUCCUGGGAGAUGCUACGGUGUUAUUUUUGCACUACAAGGGCUCUGAAGACUGCCAGGCUUGAAGUGAAGAACCACGUCACCUGCCUAUCCCAGCCAGGUGACAGUGGACAAGGGGCUUCACCUCUGAGCUGUUUUCCAGCUGUACUGGGCACAUUCCUCCUCUCACCCUGACUCACAAGGUGUUAGCAAUAAUGGACACUCCUCUAUCUUCUGCCACACUCUGAACAAUACUUCACUUCCAUCAAAUGGAUUCAUCCCAAAGGUAAUGCCCAUCGCUUCUGGAGGGAGAAAGGGAACGGGUCACGCAUGUGGAUGAUCAAAGGUCAGCUCCUGGUCAAUAUGAGAAGACUGGUUUCAGAAAAGUUGAGUGCUGAAGACUACAAAGCUGUUUGUAAGUUAUCAAGCUAGGAUUUGAUCCCAGGUCUGCCUGAUAAAUCCUGGACUCUUAACCAUGACAUAGGAGUGCCCUCUUGACUCCUAUGAUGGCAUAAAGAAUUGUAUCAGAACGGGUAAUCUGGCAUUAAAACCCCUGUGCCACAAC
rnacentral:lncRNA from 1 species